UUCCGGUAGCUGCUGCCUGGUUGGCGC
rnacentral:sRNA from 1 species